GCCCACCUAGCUCAGUCGGUAGAGCACACCCUUGGUAAGGGUGAGGUCAUCGGUUCGAUUCCGAUGGUGGGCACCA
rnacentral:tRNA from 2 species